AGUGAACGCUGGCGGUAGGCCUAACACAUGCAAGUCGAACGGCAGCACAGUAAUAGCUUGCUCUUACGGGUGGCGAGUGGCGGACGGGUGAGGAAUACAUCGGAAUCUACUUUUUCGUGGGGGAUAACGUAGGGAAACUUACGCUAAUACCGCAUACGACCUACGGGUGAAAGCAGGGGAUCUUCGGACCUUGCGCGAUUGAAUGAGCCGAUGUCGGAUUAGCUAGUUGGCGGGGUAAAGGCCCACCAAGGCGACGAUCCGUAGCUGGUCUGAGAGGAUGAUAAGCCACACUGGAACUGAGACACGGUCCAGACUCCUACGCGAGGCAGCAGUGGGGAAUAUUGGACAAUGGGCGCAAGCCUGAUCCAGCCAUACCGCGUGGGUGAAGAAGGCCUUCGGGUUGUAAAGCCCUUUUGUUGGGAAAGAAAAGCAGCAGGUUAAUACCCCGCUGUUCUGACGGUACCAAAAGAAUAAGCACCGGCUAACUUCGUG
rnacentral:rRNA from 1 species